AGGGCACCACCAGGAGUGGAGCCUGCGGCUUAAUUUGACUCAACACGGGAAAACUCACCCGGCCCGGACACUGGAAGGAUUGACAGAUUGAGAGCUCUUUCUUGAUUCAGUGGGUGGUGGUGCAUGGCCGUUCUUAGUUGGUGGAGUGAUUUGUCUGGUUAAUUCCGAUAACGAACGAGACUCUAGCCUACUAAAUAGAUCGUCGGCUUACAAACGCCGACGAGACUUCUUAGAGGGACAGGCGGUGAUUCAACCGCACGAAACAGAGCAAUAACAGGUCUGUGAUGCCCUUAGAUGUCCGGGGCCGCACGCGCGCUACACUGAAGUGAUCAGCGUGCUUUUUCAACCUACUCUGUCAAGAGUGGGGAACCCAAUGAACCUUCUUCGCGAUCGGGAUAGGGGAUUGUAAUUAUUCCCCUUGAACGAGGAAUUCCCAGUAAGCGCGAGUCAUAAGCUCGCGUUGAUUACGUCCCUGCCCUUUGUACACACCGCCCGUCGCUACUACCGAUUGAAUGUUUU
rnacentral:rRNA from 1 species